rnacentral:rRNA from 1 species
CGGUUAAGUUAGAAAGGGCGCACGGUGGAUGCCUUGGCACUAGGAGCCGAUGAAGGACGGGACGAACACCGAUAUGCUUCGGGGAGCUGUAAGCAAGCUUUGAUCCGGAGAUUUCCGAAUGGGGAAACCCACCACUCGUAAUGGAGUGGUAUCCAUAUCUGAAUACAUAGGAUAUGAGAAGGCAGACCCGGGGAACUGAAACAUCUAAGUACCCGGAGGAAGAGAAAGCAAAUGCGAUUCCCUGAGUAGCGGCGAGCGAAACGGGAUCAGCCCAAACCAAGAGGCUUGCCUCUUGGGGUUGUAGGACACUCUGUACGGAGUUACAAAGGAACGAGGUAGAUGAAGAGGUCUGGAAAGGCCCGCCAUAGGAGGUAACAGCCCUGUAGUCAAAACUUCGUUCUCUCCUGAGUGGAUCCUGAGUACGGCGGAACACGUGAAAUUCCGUCGGAAUCCGGGAGGACCAUCUCCCAAGGCUAAAUACUCCCUAGUGACCGAUAGUGAACCAGUACCGUGAGGGAAAGGUGAAAAGCACCCCGGAAGGGGAGUGAAAGAGAUCCUGAAACCGUGUGCCUACAAGUAGUCAGAGCCCGUUAACGGGUGAUGGCGUGCCUUUUGUAGAAUGAACCGGCGAGUUACGAUCCCGUGCAAGGUUAAGCAGAAGAUGCGGAGCCGCAGCGAAAGCGAGUCUGAAUAGGGCGAAUUGAGUACGUGGUCGUAGACCCGAAACCAGGUGAUCUACCCAUGUCCAGGGUGAAGUUCAGGUAACACUGAAUGGAGGCCCGAACCCACGCACGUUGAAAAGUGCGGGGAUGAGGUGUGGGUAGGGGUGAAAUGCCAAUCGAACCUGGAGAUAGCUGGUUCUCUCCGAAAUAGCUUUAGGGCUAGCCUCAAGGUAAGAGUCUCGGAGGUAGAGCACUGAUUGGACUAGGGGCCCCUACCGGGUUACCGAAUUCAGUCAAACUCCGAAUGCCGAUGACUUAUCCUUGGGAGUCAGACUGCGAGUGAUAAGAUCCGUAGUCGAAAGGGAAACAGCCCAGACCGCCAGCUAAGGUCCCAAAGUAUACGUUAAGUGGAAAAGGAUGUGGAGUUGCUUAGACAACCAGGAUGUUGGCUUAGAAGCAGCCACCAUUUAAAGAGUGCGUAAUAGCUCACUGGUCGAGUGACUCUGCGCCGAAAAUGUACCGGGGCUAAACGUAUCACCGAAGCUGCGGACUGUUCUUCGAACAGUGGUAGGAGAGCGUUCUAAGGGCUGUGAAGCAAGACCGGAAGGACUUGUGGAGCGCUUAGAAGUGAGAAUGCCGGUAUGAGUAGCGAAAGAGGGGUGAGAAUCCCCUCCACCGAAUGCCUAAGGUUUCCUGAGGAAGGCUCGUCCGCUCAGGGUUAGUCGGGACCUAAGCCGAGGCCGAAAGGCGUAGGCGAUGGAUAACAGGUUGAUAUUCCUGUACCACCUCCUCACCAUUUGAGCAAUGGGGGGACGCAGGAGGAUAGGGUAAGCGCGGUAUUGGAUAUCCGCGUCCAAGCAGUUAGGCUGGGAAAUAGGAAAAUCCGUUUCCCGUGAAGGCUGAGCUGUGAUGGCGAGCGAAUUAUAGUAGCGAAGUUCCUGAUUCCACACUGCCAAGAAAAGCCUCUAGCGAGGUGAGAGGUGCCCGUACCGCAAACCGACACAGGUAGGCGAGGAGAGAAUCCUAAGGUGAUCGAGAGAACUCUCGUUAAGGAACUCGGCAAAAUGACCCCGUAACUUCGGGAGAAGGGGUGCUCUGUUAGGGUGCAAGCCCGAGAGAGCCGCAGUGAAUAGGCCCAGGCGACUGUUUAGCAAAAACACAGGUCUCUGCGAAGCCGUAAGGCGAAGUAUAGGGGCUGACGCCUGCCCGGUGCUGGAAGGUUAAGAGGAGCGCUUAGCGUAAGCGAAGGUGCGAAUUGAAGCCCCAGUAAACGGCGGCCGUAACUAUAACGGUCCUAAGGUAGCGAAAUUCCUUGUCGGGUAAGUUCCGACCCGCACGAAAGGCGCAACGAUCUGGGCACUGUCUCAACGAGAGACUCGGUGAAAUUAUAGUACCUGUGAAGAUGCAGGUUACCCGCGACAGGACGGAAAGACCCCGUGGAGCUUUACUGCAGCCUGAUAUUGAAUGUUGGUACAGCUUGUACAGGAUAGGUAGGAGCCUUGGAAACCGGAGCGCCAGCUUCGGUGGAGGCAUCGGUGGGAUACUACCCUGGCUGUAUUGACCUUCUAACCCGCCGCCCUUAUCGGGCGGGGAGACAGUGUCAGGUGGGCAGUUUGACUGGGGCGGUCGCCUCCUAAAAGGUAACGGAGGCGCCCAAAGGUUCCCUCAGAAUGGUUGGAAAUCAUUCGCAGAGUGUAAAGGCACAAGGGAGCUUGACUGCGAGACCUACAAGUCGAGCAGGGACGAAAGUCGGGCUUAGUGAUCCGGUGGUUCCGCAUGGAAGGGCCAUCGCUCAACGGAUAAAAGCUACCCCGGGGAUAACAGGCUUAUCUCCCCCAAGAGUCCACAUCGACGGGGAGGUUUGGCACCUCGAUGUCGGCUCAUCGCAUCCUGGGGCUGUAGUCGGUCCCAAGGGUUGGGCUGUUCGCCCAUUAAAGCGGUACGCGAGCUGGGUUCAGAACGUCGUGAGACAGUUCGGUCCCUAUCCGUCGCGGGCGCAGGAAAUUUGAGAGGAGCUGUCCUUAGUACGAGAGGACCGGGAUGGACGCACCGCUGGUGUACCAGUUGUUCUGCCAAGGGCAUCGCUGGGUAGCUAUGUGCGGACGGGAUAAGUGCUGAAAGCAUCUAAGCAUGAAGCCCCCCUCAAGAUGAGAUUUCCCAUUCCGCAAGGAAGUAAGAUCCCUGAAAGAUGAUCAGGUUGAUAGGUCUGAGGUGGAAGUGUGGCGACACAUGGAGCUGACAGAUACUAAUCGAUCGAGGACUUAACCAAUUU